rfam:Halomonas elongata DSM 2581, complete genome
GCCUGACGACAGGGGCGCCGGACGCCAUGCCGCCCGGCUGAGACGCACCCUCAUCACCUGACCCGGAUAAUGCCGGCGGAGGGAGUCGUGCCGGCCAUCCC